GACGAACGCUGGCGGCGUGCCUAAUACAUGCAAGUAGAACGCUGAAGAGAGGAGCUUGCUCUUCUUGGAUGAGUUGCGAACGGGUGAGUAACGCGUAGGUAACCUGCCUUGUAGCGGGGGAUAACUAUUGGAAACGAUAGCUAAUACCACAUAACAAUGGAUGACACAUGUCAUUUAUUUGAAAGGGGCAAUUGCUCCACUACAAGAUGGACCUGCGUUGUAUUAGCUAGUAGGUGAGGUAACGGCUCACCUAGGCGACGCUACAUAGCCGACCUGAGAGGGUGAUCGGCCACACUGGGACUGAGACACGGCCCAGACUCCUACGGGAGGCAGCAGUAGGGAAUCUUCGGCAAUAGGGGCAACCCUGACCGAGCAACGCCGCGUGAGUGAAGAAGGUUUUCGGAUCGUAAAGCUCUGUUGUAAGUCAAGAACGAGUGUGAGAGUGGAAAGUUCACACUGUGACGGUAGCUUACCAGAAAGGGACGGCUAACUACGUG
rnacentral:rRNA from 1 species